CCUACGGGAGGCUGCAGUGGGGAAUUUUGCGCAAUGCUCGUAAGAGUGACGCAGCGACGCCGCGUGAAUGACGAAGGCCUUCGGGUCGUAAAGUUCUUUCGACAGGGAAGAAAAUGCCUAUAAGUAACUGUGUAUGUAUUGACGCUACCUGCAUAAGCAGCCCCGGCUAACUCCGUGCCAGCAGCCGCGGUAAUACGGAGGGGGCGAGCGUUGUUCGGAGUGACUGGGCGUAAAGAGCACGUAGGCGGUGUUGUAAGUCAUUAGUCAAAGACUAGAGCUCAACUUUAGGAAGGCUAGUGAUACUAUAAUGCUAGAGUAUCAGAGAGGAUGGCGGAAUUCCUGGUGUAGCGGUGAAAUGCGUAGAUAUCAGGAGGAAUACCGUUGGCGAAGGCGGCAAGCUGGAUGGAAACUGACGCUGAGGUGCGAAAGCGUGGGUAGCAAACAGGAUUAGAUACCCUUGUAGUC
rnacentral:rRNA from 1 species